GAGGGAAAGAAUCGAAAGGGAGAGAUUUAAAAGAGAGUGCGAUACAAGUGGAGUUGUGGAUGAUUGCAAUUAUGUCCAACUCCGCCCUUAUCGCACUUUCAAUUAUCGCUCUUUCAAAUCUCUCCCAUUCAACUCUCUCCUC
rnacentral:miRNA from 1 species